rnacentral:tRNA from 1 species
AAAUAAGAAGCAAAAAAUUUGCAUUUAGUUUCGACCUAAAAGUUUGGAUUACACCCUUAUUUA